rnacentral:tRNA from 1 species
GGAGCUGUGCCUGAAAUAAAGGGCCACUUUGAUAGAGUGAAUAAUAAGGGUUAAAUUCCCUUCCGCUCCU